rnacentral:rRNA from 1 species
GUGCACCAGGCGCGAAACCUUCGCAAUGCGGGAAACCGCGACGAGGGGACUCCCAGUGCCUACGCUCAGCGUAGGCUGUUCCCGAGCCUAGAAAGCUCGGGGAGUAAGGGCUGGGUAAGACGGGUGCCAGCCGCCGCGGUAAUACCCGCAGCCCGAGUGGUGGCCACUAUUAUUGGGCCUAAAGCGUCCGUAGCCGGCCCGGUAAAUGCCUGGGUAAAUCGUGAGGCCUAACCUCACGAAUUCCGGGUAGACUGCCGGGCUAGGGACCGGAGGAGGGAGAGGGUACUCCAGGGGUAGGGGUGAAAUCCUGUAAUCCCUGGAGGACCACCGGUGGCGAAGGCGCUCUCCUAGGACGGGUCCGACGGUGAGGGACGAAAGCCAGGGGAGCGAACCGGAUUAGAUACCCGCGUAGU